AACGAACGCUGGCGGCAGGCUUAACACAUGCAAGUCGAACGCCCCGCAAGGGGAGUGGCAGACGGGUGAGCAACGCGUGGGAAUCUACCUUUUGCUACGGGAUAGCUCCGGGAAACUGGAAUUAAUACCGUAUGUGCCCUUCGGGGGAAAGAUUUAUCGGCAAAGGAUGAGCCCGCGUUGGAUUAGCUAGUUGGUGGGGUAAAGGCCUACCAAGGCGACGAUCCAUAGCUGGUCUAAGAGGAUGAUCAGCCACAUUGGGACUGAGACACGGCCCAAACUCCGACGGGAGGCAGCAGUGGGGAAUAUUGGACAAUGGGCGCAAGCCUGAUCCAGCCAUGCCGCGUGAGUGAUGAAGGCCCUAGGGUUGUAAAGCUCUUUCAGUGGGGACGAUAAUGACGGUACCCACAGAAGAAGCCCCGGCUAACUUCGUGCCAGCCGCCGCCGUAA
rnacentral:rRNA from 1 species